AGGCACCAUCAGUAAUGUCGAACAAAUGGAGAAAGUUGCAGGUCUCAGCCUUAGAUCCAAGGACAGUCCAAGGAAGUCCUAAGACCAUGGAGUUGGUGAUCUGGGAUCUGGGUUUGCUGAUAUUUCUCACCGUGAAUCUCUUGGUGGUGUUUGUGGGCACGAGAGGGGCAGAGAAUGGAGAGUGAGGCUACCACAUGAAGCGUCACCAGAGCUGCUCCCUGCUGCCUGCUCAGAGCACCCCGGAUCCACUGUUCAAUCUGCACAAGAUUCGGGGUCCAGACAUGGGAGACUUCAGCUGCCUCAGAGGACCGUGGACAGGGAAGGCCAGCCUCGCAUCCCUCUGUCCAUGCCUGGAAUGACUUUAAUAACCAAGAGUUUUAUUUUUGAAUUUGUAGCUGUCGUUCACUUUUUACCCACCCAUUCAAUAAACCUUACAGAAUUGC
ensembl:lncRNA SNHG17 small nucleolar RNA host gene 17